rnacentral:lncRNA from 1 species
UUAAGGUUGCUUGACUCUUAGGCACUUCUUUGGCCAUGACCUCCUGCUUCUGGUUCUCCUGAUAAAAUGCUGGAGGCUCAGUCCAAGGUAACCAGCAAGAAGUGGGCUCAGGAGGACAGAGCUCUGGCUUCCCAAUUGCAUGUUCGUUCACAGGCUCCUACCUCUGCCAUUGCAGGUUCCUUGACUUUGGCCUUCAGUCCUGACUUAAUUUCUUUGCUUAUGGGUAAAACAAGGAAUUCCUGUCACACUGCCAACAUCACCCCCUUUCUUCUCACCCCAAGGAGAGUGCAGAGAGGAGGCGAGACCAAGCCUGCCCAGAGUUGGAGUCUUGAGACGUGAGAUUCUCCAGCUGGAGCCCUAUAAAUUGGACUGACAAAAGACAGAUUAGCAAGAGAAAUGCAAGCAGCAGUUUAUUAACAUGUGCAUCAUGAUUACACAUGGAAGUACCCAGAGGCAGAAUUAAAGAUUCAAGAUGUACCUACUUCUUCCGGGGACAACAUUCAUGAUUCUUAAAGAUUUCACAAGUGUACCUUCUAAGGGUAAGUGGCUGGAAGUAGUAAGAGGUCAAUGCCAAGUGAAAUCCUCUGGCGUUUUCUUCUGACAACCAGGAGUCUGCAAAGUGUUUCACACAGCAAAGCCCAGGAGCACAGGUCUUGCAGCCUCUGGAUAACCAACUCGUCUCUCACCAGUGGUUCAAAAAAGCCCAUGCUAUCCUCAUCCAAAUAAACUUAUGAAAUGCUUUACCAAAUGAUUUGUUCAGAACAGUGAAUACUAGACACAACUUUGUGUGGAACAAGAGGAGAUCCAGUAAUGACAAUACAUCUUUUGUUAGAAAGACUUACAAAGGCUGUGACAUUCUUCUUUGAAGUGUUGUCAUUGUGUUGGAUGGGAUGAAGUGGUUCUAGGACACACAAAAAAGGAUCAAGAACAUCUGAGAAGACUACAGAUAAGUCCUUACUGCUGAUUUUGGACACAGGUCAGCCAUAUGAAGAUUCAGAUGAGCAGUCUGUGCUUCCUUUGCCUUAUCUCUCAAGAGCUGAGACCUUAUUUCUAUUCCACCUUGAACAAUUUUGUUUGAGUACAACAUAUUUACUGAUAUGGUCAGCUCAAGUCAUUGUGGAAUGAAUACUUAGAUGCUGCGUUCUUCCAAAAACUGAGCAGAACCUCCCUUCUGUGAACAUUUUCAAUAGGUUGUUUUCAAGGUGAGAAAGUGGGAGGGAGAAGGGGAUGAGCAUUGAAGUAAAUAUUUUUUUCUUCUUCUACUUUUGCUACUGGGAAUGUUCCUAUCCAGGAAGGCAGGUCCCCUUUUAUUUUAUCAGAUGCAGAGGAGUUAUCGUACCUCUGUUACCAAUUCUUUAUCCAUAAUUUAUGUUAGUAACAAGGGACCUGUUGCUAGCAGUUACUGAUGAAAACAAAAGCUGGUGGCUUUCUGGAAGAAGGGGGCGUGUGAUCUCAAGAGAGUUGCAUCAUGGCCAUACUCCUCUAAGUUUCUAAUUUUUUUUCCUUUUUUUUUUUUUUUGAGACAG